rnacentral:rRNA from 1 species
AUUGAACGCUGGCGGCAUGCCUUACACAUGCAAGUCGAACGGCAGCACGGGAGCAAUCCUGGUGGCGAGUGGCGAACGGGUGAGUAAUAUAUCGGAACGUGCCCAGUCGUGGGGGAUAACGUAGCGAAAGCUACGCUAAUACCGCAUACGAUCUAUGGAUGAAAGCGGGGGAUCGCAAGACCUCGCGCGAUUGGAGCGGCCGAUAUCAGAUUAGGUAGUUGGUGGGGUAAAAGCCUACCAAGCCUUCGAUCUGUAGCUGGUCUGAGAGGACGACCAGCCACACUGGAACUGAGACACGGUCCAGACUCCUACGGGAGGCAGCAGUGGGGAAUUUUGGACAAUGGGCGCAAGCCUGAUCCAGCAAUGCCGCGUGCAGGAUGAAGGCCUUCGGGUUGUAAACUGCUUUUGUACGGAACGAAACGGUUCUUUCUAAUACAGAGAGCUAAUGACGGUACCGUAAGAAUAAGCACCGGCUAACUACGUG